UUUUCCUUAUCAGUUAAGACACAGGAAUCAGGUCACUGAUAAGUUGAAACUGAUUAACUGUACUGUUAACAAAUGUCAACUUCAGUUUUCACCACAUUCUCUGUUUGAAAGAUCUAAGAUGAAGCCACACUUUCAAUAUAACAUUAUCUCUGUAGAAGGUCACAUUUUAUCUUAACUAUAUUUUACCUCCCGUGUGGGUGACUUUCUCAGCAAAACCUCCUGACUCCAUCUAGGUGGCAGGUCACUCCGUGCCCUUAGAGUGGGCUGGCAGCUUUGACUUCCUGAAAGCUGCAGCUCUAAGAGGAAUGGUGCACAUCUCUCUGCAGCCAGUUUUACUGCUGAUAGCUCAGUGUCACUGCUUUGAAAUGGAUACAUACUGAGUGCUUAAGUGUACUCCAGGCUCUGUGUGCAGGGGCUUUGCACAUGCUCUCUCGUGCUCAGAUCAGGGCCUAUGGGAGGCUCAGAGAGGCUCACUGUUACCUUACCCGAGGCCACAGCCAGUACAAGAUAAAGUCAGCCCCCAAAGCCUCCACAACUGGACUUUUUCCACGUGCCACCACGUGCCUGUCUCAGGUGGCUGUAAUACAGAUCUGUGGACACUUGUUGCAGUUAUUAGAAUCCUGAACAAACCAACUUUAAUCAUCUAUGUGAUUUUUUCAAAAAAUGUUGGUGACUCUUGAAUAAUCAGGAUAUGCCGUCAGCCAAAGAAUUCUCUGAUACACAAGAAAGAUCAUAAGCUUGAGAUGCAACCUGGUUUUCCUCUUACUGGUAGUGUGACUUUGGGCAAAUUCCCUAAUAUCUCUAACUCUCAUGCAAAGGGUAGAAUUAUCAAUACUAAAGAAGAAUCUAUGUAAGGAGUCAACCAUAUUAAUGAAUACUGAUGGCUUUCUGCCCCAUUAUAUACUCAACCAGUUCUACUCACUCCAGCUAUGUUAAAAACAACUUCAAAAUUUAUUUUCUUUCAUAUUUUCUUCAAAACCUCAGUCUCACCAGUGGAACCAAAUCACCUGUUCUCCUGUGGUCACCCUACAUAAGAGAUGAAACUCUACAGCAGAACCCAGCUCCAGACUACACGCUCUUCCUAUGUCUCACUUCUUCCAUCUGUCUCUACAGGCGCCCUCCACCCCGUCUCUAAAGGUAUUCUGGACUCUCCACCAUAACUAAAGCCUUCCUUUAUAUGCACUUCCCUGUGAAACUACCGCCGUCCCUCCCUCCUUCCUAUCCCUGCCCAAAUUCUUAGAAAACAGCUCCACUCCAGCCCUCACCACCCCCACUACACGCCUACCCCUGGCACCCAUAGGGUCUGAUUUCCGUAGCACUAUUUAUACCGCUCAUUUCAAGGUAACUGAAGACUUUCCGAUUGACUUGUGGAUCUUCUCAAUUCUUAAUCUAUUCUCCACUGGGACCAUUUGACACUUGACCACUUCCUCUUCAAAACUCCACCCUUGGUCUCCAAGAUACCCACCCUCCGUGGGGUCUCCCUCCCAUCACUCUGACUGCUUUUUUUUGGUUCCUUCACUGAUUUCUC
rnacentral:lncRNA from 1 species